CGGGGCGUAGCGCAGCCCGGUAGCGCACUCGCUUGGGGUGCGAGGGGUCGUGGGUUCAAAUCCCGCCGCCCCGA
rnacentral:tRNA from 1 species